rnacentral:lncRNA from 1 species
GAUUUUACCCAGCUCGGGAAAGUGCCAACCGUACCAUUCUCUACAGCGCAUGAUAUAAUUAUUCAGUUCUUUGUCCAAGUCAUCAAGAAGUGAAAUUGCCUGAACGAUCAUGGUAUCUACUUUGUCUGGGCUGAAUUUCAACUUGUAUCGAGAAAGACUGUGUGCCAGGCCCAGACACAUAGCUGCCAUCUCUCGAGAAGGAAGGCCUGUAAUAAGCCCUUCAAUCUGUGAACGAAUCCCUCUCAUCAGCUCUGUAACCA